UUGUCCAUAAUAAAUUAAUUAUUUACAAAAAAUGUUGUUUUUGCAAUUUAGAAAUCAAAUAUAAAUUAGAUUAUCAAUGGUAUUCUCUGGUAUAUGUAUGAUGUAUAGUUUAAAGGUGUGGACUUCAUAAAUCAUUUAAGCAUUUCUCAGGUUAAAGAAAUCCCUUAUCAACGUGUAAACUCAUGUUGUGGCCGACUGCACUGGCCGCCUGUCAAUGCGAGAAGUCUUCACUUGACUCCACUGCUCUUCUUGCGGUUGACAUUCGCGACUGGCGGUCGUGCCCGUGGCCUCCGCUCCAGUUGGCCCCCAUCCCAAGUUUUUGCCAUCCUCGUGGCCCCCGUGACAAGUGGGGCUUUGAUGGGACACCAAAUCGGACUGUCGGUUUGCUAAGCUGUCAGCGACCCAGAGCAGAAGUCGCCCGCCUAUGAUGGGGCUUGAACUUGCGUUGCAAAGAGCGAGUUAAAAUUAGAGGUUUUAUGGCCUUUAUAGUUAUAAAGUCUACGCUUAUGUAAAAAAAGCUGACAAAUAAUUUUUUAAACCGAAAAAAUCGUGAUUAAAAGGACAAAUGUGAGAGUGUUUUCAAUA